rnacentral:lncRNA from 1 species
GGGUUUCAGUGGUUACCUGCUGAGGCGGCAUUGGGCAUGGAGCAUCCGAGGGUCCAAGCUUUCCCCUGAGAGGCCUCACACUUGAACUUAGAGGAAGAGUGAGUGGCCCUGGAGCUGGGCCUUCCAGUAGGAGCAGGGUUUCUGCAGGGAAGCAGAGAGAGGAGCCCGGGAGAAGGCACACGGGUUCUUCUCAGCCACCGUCAACAACCCCAGCUGCUACCAAGGUGCAAGAACACACAGGCUGCUGUGAAAGGACUGUAGGGGGCAAGGGCAGAGGAAGGGGCCAGCCAGGAGGCUUCCAAAAUAAUCCAGAUGAGGAAACUGCCGCUCAGAGACGGCAGCCGACCCAGCCAAGGCCGCACAGCCAGGAUUCAAAGCCAUACCGCUCAGCUCCUGCCUCCAGGCUCUGCCUUUGCAUGUGGCUUCUCCUGGCUCCUGGACCCUUCCCCGGCCCUCCCAGCUGGCUGUGCUGUGACAGUGGGCGGGGGAGUGCCAAGGCUCUGCCCUGCCCCCCGCCCUUGGCAUCUCCGGUCAAUAUGGCACUCACAGCUCCCUGGGCAUGGACCCCCUCCUGCCAUCCCCACUUAAAGUGAUACUUUAAUAAAUUAUGCUUUUAUGUUAUUACACGUGGAGCUAUAAAAGCAGAGAGUGUGCGGCCGGGCUGAGGUAAGGCGCCCGCGACUUUCCAAUUUCCUGGUC